rnacentral:sRNA from 1 species
CGGGGCAAGAGCCAGGCCUCGA